GAUGAACGCUAGCGGCAGGCCUAAUACAUGCAAGUCGGACGGGAUUCAGGAGCUUGCUUCUGAUGAGAGUGGCGCACGGGUGCGUAACACGUAUGUAACCUACCUUUAUCAGGGGGAUAGCCUCUCGAAAGAGAGAUUAAGCCCGCAUAAAAUCACAGCACAGCCUUGUGUACUGAUCAAAUAUUUAUAGGAUCAAGAUGGGCAUGCGGAACAUUAGCUAGAUGGCGGGGUAACGGCCCACCAUGGCGACGAUGUUUAGGGGAUCUGAGAGGAUGGCCCCCGACACUGGGACUGGGACACGGACCAGACGCGUACGGGAGGCAGCAGUAAGGAAUAUUGGGCAAUGGGCGGGAGCCUGAACCAGCCAUGCCGCGUGCAGGAAGACGGCCCUACGGGUUGUAAACUGCUGUUAUACGGGAAUAAACCCAGAUACGUGUAUCUGGCUGAAUGUACUGGAAGAAUAAGGAUCGGCUAACUCCGUG
rnacentral:rRNA from 1 species